AACGAACGCUGGCGGCAGGCCUAACACAUGCAAGUCGAGCGAGGACUUCUGUCCUAGCGGCGGACGGGUGAGUAACGCGUGGGAACGUGCCCUUUGCUUCGGAAUAGCCCUGGGAAACUGGGAGUAAUACCGGAUGAGCCCUUUGGGGGAAAGAUUUAUCGGCGAAGGAUCGGCCCGCGUUGGAUUAGGUAGUUGGUGGGGUAAUGGCCUACCAAGCCGACGAUCCAUAGCUGGUUUGAGAGGAUGAUCAGCCACACUGGGACUGAGACACGGCCCAGACUCCUACGGGAGGCAGCAGUGGGGAAUCUUAGACAAUGGGGGAAACCCUGAUCUAGCCAUGCCGCGUGAGCGAUGAAGGCCUUAGGGUUGUAAAGCUCUUUCAGCUGGGAAGAUAAUGACGGUACCAGCAGAAGAAGCCCCGGCUAACUCCGUG
rnacentral:rRNA from 1 species